CGAUGAUAGCUUGCUAUCAGGCGUCGAGCGGCGGACGGGUGAGUAAUACUUAGGAAUCUACCUAGUAGUGGGGGAUAGCUCGGGGAAACUCGAAUUAAUACCGCAUACGACCUACGGGAGAAAGGGGGCAACUUGUUGCUCUCGCUAUUAGAUGAGCCUAAGUCGGAUUAGCUAGAUGGUGGGGUAAAGGCCUACCAUGGCGACGAUCUGUAGCUGGUCUGAGAGGAUGAUCAGCCACACCGGGACUGAGACACGGCCCGGACUCCUACGGGAGGCAGCAGUGGGGAAUAUUGGACAAUGGGGGCAACCCUGAUCCAGCCAUGCCGCGUGUGUGAAGAAGGCCUUUUGGUUGUAAAGCACUUUAAGCAGUGAAGAAGACUCCGUGGUUAAUACCCACGGACGAUGACAUUAGCUGCAGAAUAAGCACCGGCUAACUCUGUGCCAGCAGCCGCGGUAAUACAGAGGGUGCAAGCGUUAAUCGGAAUUACUGGGCGUAAAGCGAGCGUAGGUGGCUUGAUAAGUCAGAUGUGAAAUCCCCGGGCUUAACCUGGGAACUGCAUCUGAUACUGUUAGGCUAGAAUAGGUGAGAGGAAGGUAGAAUUCCAGGUGUAGCGGUGAAAUGCGUAGAGAUCUGGAGGAAUACCGAUGGCGAAGGCAGCCUUCUGGCAUCAUAUUGACACUGAGGUUCGAAAGCGUGGGUAGCAAACAGGAUUAGAUACCCUGGUAGUCCACGCCGUAAACGAUGUCUACUAGUCGUUGGGUCCCUUGAGGACUUAGUGACGCAGCUAACGCAAUAAGUAGACCGCCUGGGGAGUACGGCCGCAAGGUUAAAACUCAAAUGAAUUGACGGGGGCCCGCACAAGCGGUGGAGCAUGUGGUUUAAUUCGAUGCAACGCGAAGAACCUUACCUGGUCUUGACAUAUCUAGAAUCCUGCAGAGAUGCGGGAGUGCCUUCGGGAAUUAGAAUACAGGUGCUGCAUGGCUGUCGUCAGCUCCUGUCCUGAGAUGUUGGGUUAAGUCCCGCAACGAGCGCAA
rnacentral:rRNA from 1 species